AGAGGAGGAACGCCAGGGUCAAUAGGGUCACGUUUAAUGAAGGAUUAAACAUUCUUGUUCUGGGUUCUUGACCUUUGCUGCAUAUAGCAGCUUAGCGCUUCUGUUCUUUAUUUGCCUGCUUGGAAAGCUUACUAUACCUAGAUCUAUCCAGUGCAGCAAGCCAGUACAUCAAAAUUUAUACCCUAGCCACGGAAGGCUAAUUUCCAUAUCUUGUGGGUUUGAAGAAUGCAAUAAAAGGUCAAAGGUUGCAAUUAAAUCCUGGAUCUCCUCUCUCAAGCUGAUUCAUCUGGGGCGCGAUAGCUCAACCGAUUUCUGUUGUGAGAAUCAAUCUAUUGAUAGUGUAUAAACUCAAGGGCGCGAAGUUCCCCCGUCCCCUCCACAGGGUGGUGGAUAUGUCCAGUACCUCACUAACACUAGCCUGGGAGGAGCCGGUAUCCACUGGUGGUAGGGGUAGGGAUGACAACCUCUGGAUCAGAGCUGCUGGGGAGACAAGCAUCUAAUACUGUCACCACCACUGUGGGAGUGAUUGAGGGACUAUCUCCAGAUUGAGCUCAAGGAAGUGCAGAUGGUGCAACCAAAUGCCUCCUAUGGACAAGCCACUGAAUUGCAACCUAAUCCCUGCUACGGACAAGCUACUCAACCGAAUGAUUCAAAUUCGGACGGAGAAUAAUUAUAAAUCAAUUAGAGACUACGAAGUUGUUUAUGACAUUAUUGUUUGAGUUUCUUUGUACUGUAUAAUUUUAUAACUGUAAUUAUUUUGGCCCCUUAAAUUAUGUGCAUCCUCAUCAUGGCUUUUAUAAAGCUGUCAUGUAUUAUAAAUUUUCUUGCAUGCUCUC